GACGAACGCUGGCGGCGUGCUUAGCACAUGCAAGUCGAACGGAAAGGCCCUGCUUUUGUGGGGUGCUCGAGCGGCGAACGGGUGAGUAACACGUGAGUAACCUGCCCUUGACUUUGGGAUAACUUCAGGAAACUGGGGCUAAUACCGUAUAGGAGCUCCUGCUGCAUGGUGGGGGUUGGAAAGUUUCGGCGGUUGGGGAUGGACUCGCGGCUUAUCAGCUUUUUGGUGGGUUGUGGCUUACCAAGGCUUUGACGGGUAGCCGGCCUGAGAGGGUGACCGGCAACAUGGGGACUGAGAUACGGACCAGAAUGCAACGGGAGGCAGCAGUGGGGAAUAUUGCACAAUGGGCGGAAGCAUGAUGAAGAAAAGCAGCGUGCGGGAUGACGGCCUUCGGGUUGUAAACCGAUUUCGCCUGUGACGAAGAGUGAGUGACGGUAAUGGGUAAAGAAGCACCGGCUAACUACGUG
rnacentral:rRNA from 1 species